rnacentral:rRNA from 1 species
UUGACCUCAAAUCAGGUAGGACUACCCGCUGAACUUAAGCAUAUCAAUAAGCGGAGGAAAAGAAACUAACAAGGAUUCCCCUAGUAACUGCGAGUGAAGCGGGAAAAGCUCAAAUUUGAAAUCUGGCGGUUUUUUGACUGUCCGAGUUGUAAUCUAGAGAAGUGUUACCUGUGCUGAACCGUGUACAAGUCUCCUGGAAUGGAGCAUCAUAGAGGGUGAGAAUCCCGUCUUUGACACGGACUACCUGUACAUUGUGGUGCGCUCUCGAAGAGUCGAGUUGUUUGGGAAUGCAGCUCAAAAUGGGUGGUAAAUGCCAUCUAAAGCUAAAUAUUGGCGAGAGACCGAUAGCGAACAAGUACCGUGAGGGAAAGAUGAAAAGAACUUUGGAAAGAGAGUUAAACAGUACGUGAAAUUGCUGAAAGGGAAACGCUUGAAGUCAGACACRUUGGCUAGAAAUCAGCCCUGCUCUUGCUUGGUGUACUUUCUGGUUGAUGGGUCAGCAUCAAUUUUAACCAUUGGAUAAAGUCUCUGGGAAUGUGGCAUCUUUGGAUGUGUUAUAGCCCAGGGUCGCAUGCAGUGGUUGGGAUUGAGGAACUCAGCACGCCGCAAGGCCGGGUUUCGACCACGUUCGUGCUUAGGAUGCUGGCAUAAUGGCUUUAAUCGACCCGUC